AUGGCGAGGACUUCAAUAGCGGCGGCGGAAAUCGCAACAAAAAAGGAGCAACGACCCAAUAAGCCGAUGGAAGGGAAGAACACCGCGCAAGUAAUUGAAGAGAUGAGAUUUAAUAGAAAUGCUACUGCUCUCCGCCCUGGGAUUUUCUCCAUACGAUUUGUGCUCAAAGCAAUGACAAAUCCUCACGAAGAAGCUAAAACGCAGCAAAAUACUGACGAAGACCCUGCUGAAGAGCAUGCAAUCCAGCAAGCUCCUAUCAAAGAUGCAGGCACAAAUAACCCAGUCAUCAACACGAAGGAAACAAACGAGUACGCUGAUCUCGAAGAUCAAGUACUUCAAACAACAACAUCUGAAGAGGAAGAGGAAGCAUGCAAAAGUACUGGCAUAGACAUUCAACAAGAAAAACUAGAGGACAACACGAGACAAGGAGACGCCGUAGCACAAGAAGCUCAAGAAACCAUCAACAAUCAAGACCAUCAAACACAACCAGAGGAGCCCAAUGAACAACCCGAACAUGUUCUUCAAACGAUAGACAAUAUUGCCACUGAAGACCAAGCCACAAAAAAUUCACUCACCAAACAACAGGUACCAGAGACAGGGGCAGCGUCAACGACUGAAAAGAGAGAGGAGACCAAUGAGCAAAAGGAGGACACUGAAGAAGGGCAACAUGUUCUUCAAAAGGCAGUCAUCAACCUACAAGACAAAAAUGACGGCAGCGGCGAUGAACUACAAAAGAAAGAAGAAGAAGAUACCCAAAAACCUCCACUCUACGAAGAACAAGCACAACAUUCAGCAGCAACGAUUGAGGAGGAGGAUACCCAAGAAACUACACUCGACAAAGAACGGGUGGAACAGUCAGCAUCACCAACGACAGCUCAACAGAAACACGAAGAAGGCGACCACGGAGAUACAAGCAAUGAAGCAGAAACACACAUUGUUCCAGAGAAAGAAGCAGAAACCAUCGAAGAAAACCCUACACCGUCGUACAAUGCCAAUUCCCCUGGCAGAGAGGUCGGUGCCAACCAGGUCGAGACUGAAAAACAAGACGGAAAAGACCACCAGCAAGACACGACGGUUGACAAGGAAAAACAUGAUGCUAAGAAAGACACAAACGACUCAAAUGAGGAUGCAGCAAAAAUUGAACAAAAGGGCACAAUGGAGAAAGGGGACAAAGAUAGUGAUUCCGUCAACAAAGCCAUCGAAGACCUGUACAACGCUAUAUGUAAGCCAUGGACACAGAGAGAAAUGGAUGAGCUUUUCAUUACAACGAACAAGUUUGAUGUCAAUCUAGGCCAUGUCGCCGAAAGCUUCAAGGUCAGUAAAUCAGUACGCACCGAAGCAAUCAAGCACAUGCUAACAAUCUUGAGAAAACAACUAAAUGGCACAGGGAGAAAGAUUAUGUCGUUAAGCAACACUCAACAGUCGAUAAAGGAAGCCGACGACGAAGAUGCAAUGUGCUACAGAAAUAAUGAUCAAGAACACAUUAGAAAAAAAUUACUACCUGCCAGGCUUAGAUCAUUUUUCAACAUGCAAGAAGAAGAAAAACUGCAAGAUUAUAACAUGUUCCUUCUACCAUGUUCGUUGCGCAGAAUGGACUGCGCAUUCUAUAUGUACAUGAACCUGAAGCACUACUCCAAUGAUGGAACAGCAGCAACCUUAGAGCCAGAACAAGUACCAGAGUUGAGGAAAAAAAUUCUAUAUCAACUAAUCAGCCAACACAGAGGGAAUACCAAACUGUCAUUAAUCAAGUGUACAACAGAUAUGCUGAAGUAUGAAGUCGAUAUGGGAGACAAAGAAAUGCAACAGACAGAAUGUUGCGUACUAGAAGAGUUUCCGCCAAAUCCCGAGCCAAAAGAACAUAUUAUGCAUGCGACAACCACAAAAGACCAUAAAGUUAUUGAUAUAUCCAGUAAACACAAAGAGGUUGUGGAUGUCAGCAGACACGCCGUCGCCCAAGAAUCUUGCACAGACCACGAAGAAAAGGAUCCACCAGUAGAACCAGAUCAACCACCACCAGACGACAAGAUACCACACCAUGCUGAAGAGCAAACGGACGAGCAAAAUAUCAACAGCAAUACCCCGAGCACAGAGCAACUUGAACAAACAGGCACUGAUUUAAAAGAGGAUGGCACAAGCAACGACGUACCAAAUACACAAGAACAGAUUUCCGAGCAGAAGAAACAACCUGUUCCUCUUCAAGAAGAAACAGGCUCGACAAGCAAUCAGCAAGGCACCUCCAGCACCAUCUCUCUAGAGUUCCUAAAACCCAAAACAAUGGAAAAGCACGACGAAGUUGAUGAAUUUCUUUCAAGCCUUAACCCGCUCCAACUAGAGGAAUACAACGAGCAUUUAAAGAUGGGCGUUGGAUUCGAUGUAAUCAAAACAUGGCUGAAUGACCAUGAAAGCUAUGAAUUCAACAAAGAUCCCACGCCGUAUCUGAUAAUCUUGCAGCAAGAAUCAGGAGAACAUUCAAUGCCUAAAUCAUCUGAGAACAGCUCAGACAAGAAAAUCUCGGUCAAGAAGAGACCGGUAAAGCCUUCAAGAAAGCUGCAUGAAAAAACUCCUACUUUUGUCCCAGGAGAUUUCAAAUUUAUGAACAAAGCCAGAGCACUUCAUGAAUACCUAUUCAGCAAAGAAGGACAGGACGAAUGCGGAGAUCUAAACGUAUAUAUUAGCUCGAAGCGACCCGAUUGGAUUACAGGAAAACAAAUGAUGGAACAGCUACGGAAAGGAGAUCAUGGACAGAUGGAGGGAUCCAUCACAAACGCAUUGUUCGAAGAAUGGACAGUACAACAACAAUACAACACAACCGAUAAAGCCAUACUUCCCGCAGAAUUUGCAAACAUCGUGCUCGGUGUUAAAAUUGGAGAAAAAGGAGGACUAGCAGAAUUCAAUGAGGACGAAGCAUUGGAACAGUUUGCACCCCUUAUAACAGGGAAGGAACUUUUAAAGAAAAAGCUGAUUAUGAUACCUCACAACACAGCUAAACACUACACACUGUACGUGCUCAACAAGUACACGAGCUCCAUCGACAUACUUGACUCACUGAAUUACAGAGACGGAGACGGAAAGAAUACAUGGAAAACACACCAUAAGGAUCACCAGGAACUGAUUAAAAGGAUGCACGCACUCAUGAAGAAGCAUUACGGCGAAGUGGAGCUACGAGCCAACAGCGAACCGAACUGGUCGAGGAUAGCAGAAACACCUAACAGAGUUUGCGUGCCAAAACAGCAGGGUACCCAAUGCGGACACUUCAUGGUUCAAUUUGCAAAAUACUGGAAUGGCAUUGAUCUCAUAAAAGAUGAUGAGGAUUUCGAUCAAAGCAACGUAGAUGCCAAGUGGAAACCAGAGUUCCUUUUUACAGCCAUAUUUGGUGAAACAAACGAAGUAAAGUGCGAGAAACUACCUGGAAGAAUCAAAGAAUUCAAACCAGAAACUUCAAAGUUCUUUUCCACCAACAAAGAAACAGAUGAAACUAAAAGGGAAAGAAGACGAAGCACCAGUCCAUACCCAAAACAUUCUCAUUGCUUCCAACACACAACGGAGGCGUCCGACCUCUUCCAUCUAGUCAUGAGCGACAGCAGGCAGGAAGAAUACAAAAAGCGCAUCCGCAGGGAUAGUGAAAGCACGCAACUUACUGGAGCCCAACUGAAGGCAGUAUUUGGUCCAAGACCAGCACAGACGAACAUACCACAUCAUAUGGAAAAGAGGGUCCUCGAUGACAUAGCAGAAAUUUGGGAAAGCAGACAAGAUUCAAAACAGAGUGACAGAGUAAUAUCAGGCCCAAACUUUGCAGAGAUAUUCGUUCCAAUGGAGAAGCAUGACCGCUACGUACUAUAUGUGCUGGACAAAUACAAACACAAAGUUCACAUUAUUGAUCCUCGAGAAACUACUCCAGAGGAAUUUGAGAAAGAAAAAAUAGACGUGGAUAAAUUGGAUCCACAUAAAGCAUGUCAAGUUCUUCAGGAACAUGAAGGCGCUCAAAAAGAAAGAGAAAGACAGUUUCAGGAAUAUCAUGUUCAUAAGUCGGCAAUCGUACCUAGGUUUAAAGAAGUCUUCAACACCAUACUAGGACAAACAAUGAAUGCCAAGGGUACAAGAUGGCAGAUUCAUACCGUGCAAGAUGUUCCAGUGGUAGAAAAGGGAGAAUCAACAUUUGCUGUUUUAAAGCUUGCAUUCCUCUACAAUGGUGAAAAGUUUGUCGAAGACCUGGAAGAUUUGACAGAUGAGUUCGAAGACUGGAGGGCAGAGGCAAUGUACAUUCUCUUAAGUAGCGAGAUGAAUCAAAUCAAAGCUAGUUCCCUCGCGACGGAGGCGCCAUGCCACACCACGACGUACAACGCGCCGCACGAACCAGCACGCCGCACGACCAACACACACUUCGACCUAUGCCCCCCCUUCAAGAUGUUUAUGAGAAUUGAACGAGCCGAAGGCGAGCUGGAGGUGAGAUUUGAUAGUGUUGAUUUACUUCCAAACUGCCACUGCAGCCUCCCCGAUCUCUCUUUCCUCUCCUCUAUCACGCAUCAGAUUAGAUCGAGCUCACCAACCAAUCACCACCGCCUCCGUCGAGAGCUCCCUCUUGCGCCGCCGCCGCCGCCCUCAAGAGCGACCCCGCCGUCAAGAACGCCACCGCCGCCCUCAAGAGCGCCGCCGGUUAGAGCUACCCCGUCCGCCUCAACCCCGUCAUCGGUCCGUGCUCCAUCCUCUGUUGCGACCCCGCCCGCCGGCGCCCAGAUGGUGAAAACGCAUCCGAUGCGUGUGCUUCGUAUGAGCCGCGUCAGAGAUGAUGUAGAUCAGCUCGUCGAGUCGCCAUGUGAAUUUCCAUGGGCAAGCAUCUUCUUCUACUUGUUCUUUCGCACCAUACACAAAGCACAGAAUAAAAGGUUUGUCCUAUAUACCAUUCCGAAGAAGAGCUCGUCGAGUCGCCAUGUGAAUUUCCAUGGGCAAGCAUCUUCUUCUACUUGUUCUUUCGCACCAUACACAAAGCACAGAAUAAAAGGUUUGUCCUAUAUACCAUUCCGAAGAAGAGCAUACGUGGUGAGUACGUUCCUUUCCGAUGUGGAGUCGGGAGCGGAACGUCUGAACGUCCACCGCGACCACCACGAAAGUGCCAAAAGACGUGAAAGAGAGAAGCUUUGGAGCAGGGGGAUCGAGCUCACGGUCGCGGUGGAGGUGCUGGCGACCUCACCGGUCACCGGGCAGCAAUCCGUGGGGUGGGAGGAGACGAUGAUUCCUGACGUACUGUCUGGGGCAAAAAACGUUGCUCCAACAGACGGUCCAUAUGUAAAAAAAAUUGGACCGCGGCCUUCUCGUGAUAUAAAAUACAACCCCUCACGAUGCAAAUAUACAUCACGAGAUGCAUCUCGUCCAAAACCAGCCGCCGCCCGCGAACGCCCAACCGCCACUUCAUUUUUGUUCCCGCCCGUCCGCCCGCCCGCAACCCUCCCGGCUGUCGCGCCCCCGCCGUCCGGCGCCGCCAUGGCCGAUGCCGACGACCCCGCCGCCUUCUCCGCCGCCACCGCAGCCGGUGGGCUGAUCCACGCGGCGAAGGGACGAGGAGGCAGCGUCAAACGGCCGCCCAACCGCAGCCGCAACCCGGUCGACAGUUCUACGCGGCCGGCGAAGGUCUCUAAGGCGGCCGCGGCGGCUCGGGGCGACGACUCGCAGACGGUGCGGCCGGCGGCCUCCUCGAGCAGCCACACAUCCAUUCCUCAACCUCCCCCGCCGCCACCGCCGGCCGUGGAGGAAGAUGUGGCCACGCCGACGGCCACCGCCUCCAACAUGUUCGACGAAAUGUCGCAAAGGGCGGCAGCCGAGGAGAGGUUGGCCGCGGCCGAGGAGAGGAAGGUGGACCUAGAGGAGAAGAAGGCCGCGGCCGACGAGAGGAAGAUGGUAGAAGAGAGGACACUCAAGUUUAUGUUUAUGGACACAUCAACUCUUGAUGCCAAGGCAAAGGCAUAUGUUGAACUUUGUCGCGAUGAAAUGCUCAUGAAGAAGCAAAUGCUCAUGAGGCAAAUGAUGAUGGGAGGAGGCAUGGGAGGUGCCAUGGGAGGAGGCAUGGGAGAUGCCAUGGGUGGUUACAUGAACAUGAUUGGAGGUUCCAUGAGUGGUGCAUUUGGCGGAAACAUGGGUGGUGGCUUCAGUGGCAACAUGGAAGGUGGCUUUGGCGGCAACAUGAGUAGCGUUGGAGGUGGAUAUGGCGGUAACAUCAGACGCAAUGAAGAUGGUUCCGGUGGUGCUCACGGCAACGAGAGUUCACUGCUUGUUGAGAACGUCGACAAAGACGGUGGUGGAGAUGAUGAUCGUACCACCGUUCAAAACACCGGUUGUGUUGAUGACCCGCAUGAUUGCCAUUUCAAUGCAAAACCGCGGCUGAACAGUGGCUGGCAGCAGCCGCGCGGCCGUUUUCAUAUUUUUACAUCUUCAUUUUGGACCAUCUAUUGGAGUUGCAAAUUUGGACCAUCUGUUGGAGUUGAGUUUUUUUCGGAGCUCCAAAACGCAUUUUUUGGCGAUCCAAAAUUAUCAUCUCCGAAAAGCGUGGCGUGGCUUACGGUUACUGGGCUGACCCAGUUCAUGUUCGCUGCAAGCGAGCCGUGCCUUGGCGUCACAAUAAGCGGCACGUUUAGAAUCCAGGCUGACAAGAAACGGGCCUCCCAGGAUGGGCUGGACGGCCCAUCUGACCGCGAGCUGGCUGGCUGCGGCGGGCCGAUGCCGAGCUCUCUCACCAGGUGGUAUAAUAACACAGUGGAAACUAUUAUCGCUCUAUAUUCCCAAGCAGCCGACAGCCAGAGGAGAGGAUUCCCCACCCAGCCAAGCCACCCGCGUGAAGUCGGCACUCCCCUCCCCUCCCCUCCCUCCGUCCCAACCCCUUCUCCCAGUGGAUUUCAGCACAUCAAGACCAUUGCUUACCUUAUAUGGAAUCCAUCCGAGUUCUCCCCAAUCCACACACGUCCGUCUUUCGUGCCCACGGAGGAUCUGCUCUUAUCCUCGUCUCCACACCUUACUGACCGAGCUCCUCACUCCAGGAUUCACUCUUGGUUGCACAGUUACACUGCAAGUUAA
rnacentral:rRNA from 1 species